ACAUAUCAAUCGGCGGAGGAUCAGUCGGUGCUUUCGAGACGGUUCUCUAGGUUCUCGAAUCAAUGAAGAACGCAGCGAAAUGCGAUACGUAGUACGAAACGCAAGUCGUGAAUCAUCGAAUCUUUGAACGCACAUUGCGCUGUGUGGCAUUCCACACAGCAUGCCUGUUUGAGCAAUAUUUCUCUCUCGCAAGGUGUUGGGCACCACGCCGGCAGGCGUCUGCCAGAAACGAAAUUGUCUAAAACAGUUAAGCUUGUUACAGACUCUUGAUCUUAUUCUCAAAUCAGGUAGGACUACCCGCUGAACUUAAGCAUAUCAAUAAGCGGAGGAA
rnacentral:rRNA from 1 species